rnacentral:rRNA from 1 species
UACGGGAGGCAGCAGUGGGGAAUAUUGUACAAUGGGCGCAAGCCUGAUCCAGCCAUACCGCGUGGGUGAAGAAGGCCUUCGGGUUGUAAAGCCCUUUUGUUGGGAAAGAAAAGCAGUCGGCUAAUACCCGGUUGUUCUGACGGUACCCAAAGAAUAAGCACCGGCUAACUUCGUGCCAGCAGCCGCGGUAAUACGAAGGGUGCAAGCGUUACUCGGAAUUACUGGGCGUAAAGCGUGCGUAGGUGGUUGUUUAAGUCUGUUGUGAAAGCCCUGGGCUCAACCUGGGAAUUGCAGUGGAUACUGGGCGACUAGAGUGUGGUAGAGGGUAGUGGAAUUCCCGGUGUAGCAGUGAAAUGCGUAGAGAUCGGGAGGAACAUCCAUGGCGAAGGCAGCUACCUGGACCAACACUGACACUGAGGCACGAAAGCGUGGGGAGCAAACAGGAUUAGAUACCCUGGUAGUCCACGCCCUAAACGAUGCGAACUGGAUGUUGGGUGCAAUUUGGCACGCAGUAUCGAAGCUAACGCGUUAAGUUCGCCGCCUGGGGAGUACGGUCGCAAGACUGAAACUCAGAGGAAUU